rnacentral:tRNA from 1 species
GGUGGCUCAGUGGUAGAGUGUUUGUCUUGCGAGCAUGAGGUCCUGGGUUCGAUUCCUCAGCACCA